rnacentral:rRNA from 1 species
UACGUAGGGUCCGAGCGUUGUCCGGAAUUACUGGGCGUAAAGAGCUCGUAGGUGGUUUGUCGCGUUGUUCGUGAAAACUCACAGCUCAACUGUGGGCGUGCGGGCGAUACGGGCAGACUAGAGUGCUGCAGGGGAGACUGGAAUUCCUGGUGUAGCGGUGGAAUGCGCAGAUAUCAGGAGGAACACCGGUGGCGAAGGCGGGUCUCUGGGCAGUAACUGACGCUGAGGAGCGAAAGCGUGGGGGAGCGAACAGG